UACGUAGGGUGCAGGCGUUAAUCGGAAUUACUGGGCGUAAAGCGUGCGCAGGCGGCUUCGUAAGUCAGAUGUGAAAUCCCCGGGCUUAACCUGGGAACUGCGUUUGAAACUGGGAGGCUCGAGUGCGGCAGAGGGGGGUGGAAUUCCACGUGUAGCAGUGAAAUGCGUAGAUAUGUGGAGGAACACCGAUGGCGAAGGCAGCCCCCUGGGCCUGCACUGACGCUGAGACACGAAAGCGUGGGGAGCAAACAGG
rnacentral:rRNA from 1 species